rnacentral:tRNA from 1 species
GUCUUUGUAGGGCAAUGGAUAGCACGUUGGACUUUUAAUCCAAAGGUCGUGGGCUCGAAUCCCACCUAGGUUGGCA